rnacentral:snRNA from 1 species
GUGCUCGCUUCGGCAGCACAUAUACUAAAAUUGGAACGAUACAGAGAAGAUUCGCACAGCCCCUGUGCAAGGAUGACAUGCAAAUUCGCGAAGCGUUCCAUAUUUUU